rfam:Loa loa cont3.8258, whole genome shotgun sequence.
AAAGGACGUCUCGCUUUCACCGGUGACCUUGGUUUGUUAUGUUUAAGUACUAAGGCACGCGGUGAAUGCCAAACGUUCUAUU